GGUUAAGCGACUAAGCGUACACGGUGGAUGCCCUGGCAGUCAGAGGCGAUGAAGGACGUGCUAAUCUGCGAAAAGCGUCGGUAAGGUGAUAUGAACCGUUAUAACCGGCGAUGUCCGAAUGGGGAAACCCAGUGCAAUUCGUUGCACUAUCGUUAACUGAAUACAUAGGUUAACGAGGCGAACCGGGGGAACUGAAACAUCUAAGUACCCCGAGGAAAAGAAAUCAACCGAGAUUCCCCCAGUAGCGGCGAGCGAACGGGGAGCAGCCCAGAGUCUGAAUCAGCUUGUGUGUUAGUGGAACGGUCUGGAAAGUCCGACGGUACAGGGUGAUAGUCCCGUACACCAAAAUGCACAGGCUGUGAACUCGAAGAGUAGGGCGGGACACGUGGUAUCCUGUCUGAAUAUGGGGGGACCAUCCUCCAAGGCUAAAUACUCCUGACUGACCGAUAGUGAACCAGUACCGUGAGGGAAAGGCGAAAAGAACCCCGGCGAGGGGAGUGAAAAAGAACCUGAAACCGUGUACGUACAAGCAGUGGGAGCACCUUCGGGUGUGACUGCGUACCUUUUGUAUAAUGGGUCAGCGACUUAUAUUCUGUAGCAAGGUUAACCGUAUAGGGGAGCCGCAGGGAAACCGAGUCUUAACUGGGCGUUAAGUUGCAGGGUAUAGACCCGAAACCCGGUGAUCUAGCCAUGGGCAGGUUGAAGGUUGGGUAACACUAACUGGAGGACCGAACCGACUAAUGUUGAAAAAUUAGCGGAUGACUUGUGGCUGGGGGUGAAAGGCCAAUCAAACCGGGAGAUAGCUGGUUCUCCCCGAAAGCUAUUUAGGUAGCGCCUCGUGAAUUCAUCUUCGGGGGUAGAGCACUGUUUCGGCUAGGGGGUCAUCCCGACUUACCAACCCGAUGCAAACUACGAAUACCGAAGAAUGUUAUCACGGGAGACACACGGCGGGUGCUAACGUCCGUCGUGAAGAGGGAAACAACCCAGACCGCCAGCUAAGGUCCCAAAGUCAUGGUUAAGUGGGAAACGAUGUGGGAAGGCACAGACAGCCAGGAUGUUGGCUUAGAAGCAGCCAUCAUUUAAAGAAAGCGUAAUAGCUCACUGGUCGAGUCGGCCUGCGCGGAAGAUGUAACGGGGCUAAACCAUGCACCGAAGCUGCGGCAGCGACACUAUGUGUUGUUGGGUAGGGGAGCGUUCUGUAAGCCUGCGAAGGUGUGCUGUGAGGCAUGCUGGAGGUAUCAGAAGUGCGAAUGCUGACAUAAGUAACGAUAAAGCGGGUGAAAAGCCCGCUCGCCGGAAGACCAAGGGUUCCUGUCCAACGUUAAUCGGGGCAGGGUGAGUCGACCCCUAAGGCGAGGCCGAAAGGCGUAGUCGAUGGGAAACAGGUUAAUAUUCCUGUACUUGGUGUUACUGCGAAGGGGGGACGGAGAAGGCUAUGUUAGCCGGGCGACGGUUGUCCCGGUUUAAGCAUGUAGGCUGAUUGUCCAGGCAAAUCCGGAUAAUCAAGGCUGAGGUGUGAUGACGAGGCACUACGGUGCUGAAGUAACAAAUGCCCUGCUUCCAGGAAAAGCCUCUAAGCAUCAGGUAACAUUAAAUCGUACCCCAAACCGACACAGGUGGUCAGGUAGAGAAUACCAAGGCGCUUGAGAGAACUCGGGUGAAGGAACUAGGCAAAAUGGUGCCGUAACUUCGGGAGAAGGCACGCUGGUGUGUAGGUGAAGUCCCUGCGGAUGGAGCUGAGACCAGUCGAAGAUACCAGCUGGCUGCAACUGUUUAUUAAAAACACAGCACUGUGCAAACACGAAAGUGGACGUAUACGGUGUGACGCCUGCCCGGUGCCGGAAGGUUAAUUGAUGGGGUUAUCCGUAAGGAGAAGCUCUUGAUCGAAGCCCCGGUAAACGGCGGCCGUAACUAUAACGGUCCUAAGGUAGCGAAAUUCCUUGUCGGGUAAGUUCCGACCUGCACGAAUGGCGUAAUGAUGGCCAGGCUGUCUCCACCCGAGACUCAGUGAAAUUGAACUCGCUGUGAAGAUGCAGUGUACCCGCGGCAAGACGGAAAGACCCCGUGAACCUUUACUAUAGCUUGACACUGAACAUUGAGCCUUGAUGUGUAGGAUAGGUGGGAGGCUUUGAAGCGUGGACGCCAGUCUGCGUGGAGCCAACCUUGAAAUACCACCCUUUAAUGUUUGAUGUUCUAACGUUGGCCCCUUACCGGGGUUGCGGACAGUGUCUGGUGGGUAGUUUGACUGGGGCGGUCUCCUCCCAAAGCGUAACGGAGGAGCACGAAGGUUAGCUAAUCCUGGUCGGACAUCAGGAGGUUAGUGCAAUGGCAUAAGCUAGCUUGACUGCGAGCGUGACGGCGCGAGCAGGUGCGAAAGCAGGUCAUAGUGAUCCGGUGGUUCUGAAUGGAAGGGCCAUCGCUCAACGGAUAAAAGGUACUCCGGGGAUAACAGGCUGAUACCGCCCAAGAGUUCAUAUCGACGGCGGUGUUUGGCACCUCGAUGUCGGCUCAUCACAUCCUGGGGCUGAAGUAGGUCCCAAGGGUAUGGCUGUUCGCCAUUUAAAGUGGUACGCGAGCUGGGUUUAGAACGUCGUGAGACAGUUCGGUCCCUAUCUGCCGUGGGCGCUGGAGAAUUGAGGGGGGCUGCUCCUAGUACGAGAGGACCGGAGUGGACGCAUCACUGGUGUUCGGGUUGUCAUGCCAAUGGCACUGCCCGGUAGCUAAAUGCGGAAGAGAUAAGUGCUGAAAGCAUCUAAGCACGAAACUUGCCCCGAGAUGAGUUCUCCCUGAGACUUUAAGUCUCCUGAAGGAACGUUAAAGACGAUGACGUUGAUAGGCCGGGUGUGUAAGCGCAGCGAUGCGUUGAGCUAACCGGUACUAAUGAACCGUGAGGCUUAACCUU
rnacentral:rRNA from 1 species